rnacentral:lncRNA from 10 species
GGCUGGCGUGCCCGGUGGCUCGGCUAGCUCCCGGGUCCCGGCCCCGCCUGGAGGGUGGGUCCGCCGAUUACUCACUUUGUUUUUAGGGGAUUUCAGGGCCCCCUCCCGCCGAUCGGCGGAGUUUGGUGAUGUCACUCUGGGCCGGGUCUGGAGCAAAGCCAGGGCUACUGGGCUGCGGCCGCCCGCCCCGCGCAGGGAAAAGCCCGACCGGGCCUUCUGCUCCGCAGAGGCCGGGUGGUUGAACUCCGCGCGGGUUUCCUAACCGCUAAAGGUGCCUUUCGGUGGUGGCUGUCUCAGAAGCACGUUAAAAUGUCCUACCCACCCCAAUCUAGAUGCGGCUGUGGGGGAAUGGGAGCGGCCGGACCUCCCAGCCUGACAGUGCAUCAAGAGCUUUGCGGAGCCUACAGCCCGGAUGGGACGACUGAGGCCCUCCCGCUGGCGAGCUGGCCGAGGGCUCGUCCCUCUCCAGCUAAAGCGCCAGCUUACGAUACAGCCAAACUGCCGGCUCUCAUCGGCUGUGGGAGCAGGAGGCCCCCAGGGGUAAAUCCCGGAGCCUCGUCUCUGAAGCCUGGCGCUUGUGUCUCAGAAGGUGGCCAUCAUCGAAUCCACUGAGGGCGCAAAUAGAACAAAAAGGUGAAGAAAAGGUGAAUUCUCUCCUUUCUUGAGCUGGGACAUCCAACUUCUCAGACAUCAGAGCUCCUGGAGGCCUUCAGACUCCGAGACAUUACACCAUUGGCUCACCUGGUCCUCAGGUCUUUGGACUUGGAAUGAAUUACACCAUUGGCUUUCCAGGUCUUCCAGCUUGCAGAUGGCAGAUUGUGGGACUUUUCAGCCUCCAUAACUUUGUCAUCCAAUUCCCAUAAUAAAUCGCCUCUUAUA